UUUGCCAUUUUUUAAAUACAAACCCCUAAAAUAAAACCCUCACCGCCACUAGCUCUGUCAAUUUUCUCCUCCAACGCCGCGCCUCUCUCUCUGUACCUCUCAGGUUUUUUCCCCGUCGCCUCCUCUCUCUCUCUCUCUAACUUCCUCAAUGCAAGCUUCCACUCAACCUCUCCCUUAGAUCUGACUCUCUCCUCCAGGGACGUGCUUGGAUUGGUAGAGCUUCAAAAAGUCGAUCUUCUGUUUGGAAAGUAGGUGAUAAACGUCCAGGCUACAGUGCAAGUGAUUCUGAUUCGGAUGAUCCAAACGAUGAUUCUAAAAAUAUCAAAUAGGUUUCAUAUUUGAUCCUUUCUCCCAGCAUAUUGUUAAUGAGGAUAUGGCCAUUGGCAUUUCUCUCUUACAUAGUUUCUUUCUCACUCAAAGAUUUCUCUCUCAGAUCAGUCCUUAGUGACCGAUUCUAAGCUCAAUCUCUAUCUCUGUGGUCUUCUCUUUUUCUCACAGGAACACUGUCUCUUGUGCCGAUAUUUUAGCACUUGCCGCAAGAGAAGUCCUUUUGAUCGAAGAGGAAGGAGAGCAGCUUAAUUGGGGUACUUGGGUGAGCAUCAUACUUGAUUCUUCUCUGUUAGAUUGUGCUCUGGGGAGGUCUCUCAGAAGAGCUGGAAGGGGACAACUUUCACAACAUAAAACAAGCAACGUUCUAAGGGGUAUGAGGAAAAAAAACAAAGAAAUUAAAGAGAGGAGAUUGUAAGCCUUCUUUAAUGUAAGUUUGUAGUUCACACUUAGACUUAUAAUAGCCACAUGACGAAAUCUCUUCACUAGUUUAAGUUGAACUGUUUAAUCUAUUUGAGCUGCUUGCCACUUUUUCAUCUUAUUGUAUUGUAGUUUUGUUCAGUUACUUCUAUAUUUCAAAUGAUAACAAAGGAAAGCCAUAUAUGUUGCAGGUUAUAUAGCUACACACUUGCAUGGGCUGUGGCAUAUUUACACAUUAAUUACAGAUUUCUUAGUUUGAAUGUUGUUACAGAGACCUAUGUGUUUGUGAUUUUGAGAUUUUGAGUGUCUUUUCAUUAAGAAUCCUGUGUAUGUGUUGUAUAUAAUGCAAUUUGAGUACAUGGUUUCUGUAA